UACGUAGGUGGCAAGCGUUGUCCGGAAUUACUGGGCGUAAAGGGCGUGUAGGCGGCUUUUUAAGCCAGACGUGAAAUCCCUAGGCUUAACCUAGGAACUGCGUUUGAAACUGGAUGGCUUGAGGACCGGAGAGGGCAGUGGAAUUCCCAGUGUAGCGGUGAAAUGCGUAGAUAUUGGGAGGAACACCAGUGGCGAAGGCGACUGCCUGGACGGCACCUGACGCUGAGGCGCGAAAGCUAGGGGAGCAAACGGG
rnacentral:rRNA from 1 species